GGACGGGUGGCCGAGUGGUUGAAGGCGCACGCCUGGAACGCGUGUAUACGGGAAACCGUAUCGAGGGUUCGAAUCCCUCUCCGUCCGCCA
rnacentral:tRNA from 1 species